rnacentral:rRNA from 1 species
AUGAACGCUGGCGGCGUGCCUAAUACAUGCAAGUCGAGCGAACAGACGAGGAGCUUGCUCCUCUGACGUUAGCGGCGGACGGGUGAGUAACACGUGGAUAACCUACCUAUAAGUCUGGGAUAACUUCGGGAAACCGGAGCUAAUACCGGAUAAUAUAUUGAACCGCAUGGUUCAAUAGUGAAAUACGGUUUUGCUGUCACUUAUAGAUGGAUCCGCGCCGCAUUAGCUAGUUGGUAAGGUAACGGCUUACCAAGGCAACGAUGCGUAGCCGACCUGAGAGGGUGAUCGGCCACACUGGAACUGAGACACGGUCCAGACUCCUACGGGAGGCAGCAGUAGGGAAUCUUCCGCAAAGGGCGAAAGCCUGACGGAGCAACGCCGCGUGAGUGAUGAAGGUCUUCGGAUCGUAAAACUCUGUUAUUAGGGAAGAACAAAUGUGUAAGUAACUAUGCACGUCUUGACGGUACCUAAUCAGAAAGCCACGGCUAACUACGUG